rnacentral:rRNA from 1 species
AGGACGAACGCUGGCGGCGUGCUUAACACAUGCAAGUCGAGCGGAAAGGCCCUUCGGGGUACUCGAGCGGCGAACGGGUGAGUAACACGUGAGCAAUCUGCCCCUAGCUUCGGGAUAGCUCCGGGAAACCGGAAUUAAUACCGAAUAUGACCCCGGCCGACAUCGGCUGUGGUGGAAAACUUUUGCGGCUAGGGAUGAGCUCGCGGCCUAUCAGCUUGUUGGUGGGGUAAUGGCCUACCAAGGCGACGACGGGUAGCCGGCCUGAGAGGGCGACCGGCCACACUGGGACUGAGACACGGCCCAGACUCCUACGGGAGGCAGCAGUGGGGAAUCUUGCGCAAUGGGCGAAAGCCUGACGCAGCGACGCCGCGUGCGGGAUGAAGGCCUUCGGGUUGUAACCGCUUUCAGCAGGGACGAAACGACGGUACCUGCAGAAGAAGCGCCGGCUAACUACGUGCCAGCAGCCGC